rnacentral:lncRNA from 1 species
AGGUGCCAAUGCUACACUUCCUUAGCUAGGAGCUAGCAAUGCUACGUGGAAUUGCAUGUCGGUAUCUUCUGAGAGGUUGUUCUCUCUCCACUUCUCAUUCAAGUCUGAAGAUGCUUACAGUCACCUGCAGUACUUCUAAAUCAGAGUUUUGAGAUGGAAGAGGUCACAGCUCCAAUGAUCUCAGCCGAAGAAGAUGAGGAAGAAGACCAGCACAAGUGCUACGACUCAGUGACCUCAUGGGAAACCGUGGGGAGAGAUAGCAUUCAAGAAGGAACAUGGGGAAGAGUAUCCAGAGUACAGAGUGGAAGCCUUUGCCCUCCUCUUUCAGCUCUCCAAGGAAUGUCUUCCUGCCCGGUGUCCUGGACAACUGCCUGUCUUUAGAAUUAACAAAUGCUCUGACUUGCAGAGUCUCUCUCAAAUCAGCUUUUGCUGGUAUCAGGAUUUCUCUGGAGGACUCAACAAAGUCCUCUCCAUGCCUGAGAUUCCUACAAUGAUUGAAAUUCCAUUGUUUCUUCCCCGUGGAAUAACCAUAAGCUUCCUGAGGGAGUGCACCUCAGAGAGGCCUCGCCUGGGACUUGAAACAUCCAGCCCACUGUACGCUGUGGCAUUUGGACAGGUUCUUGCCUCGAGUUCCUGCUCUGCCUUCAUUUCACUAUACCUAGAAGCUGAAAUAAACUAUUUCCUCCACAA